AAUAUUAGGGACAGUUUUAAGGGGUGAUGAUUUUGAAAGUGAAAAACCCUGGGGCUAGGACUAGGUGUGGUGAUGAUUUUUAAAAAUUCUUUUAUUCAUUUAUUAUGCAGACAACUAUUCAACACCUGUUCUAUGCCAGGCACUGUGUUAGCUAUUGGGAAUAAAACAAUGGCCAAUAUAGUUAUAGUUCCUGCCUUUUACAAGGCUUAGUAUCUAACAAGGAAGUCAGAUAAUUAAACAAAUAACAACGUAAGCGUACAUACAUUUUGUGAUAGAUAAUUAUGUAGUUUAUCAUUCAAACUGGGACCUGAAGAUGAAGGGGGAACUCUCAAUAAUUAUGCUGGGCCAAGAGGUUUACACCGAGAUCACCCUGGGCAAAAGGAGAUGUUUCUGACCUUAGGGUUAAGAGAUCCAGAGAUGGUUACAGGACUGUGUAUAAGGAUCGCUUAAUCCAGUCUGUAUGUGAUGAUGGUGGGAGAAAGAUUUUUAGGAGGAAAUUACGUUGUUACUCAUAGGACUGCCUCUUCAGGUGGGUUCUCUCCUGCGGCUCUCUAAUGACUGCCUGUACGUCUGGAAGCCAAAUGCUUCAUAUUUGUAAGACCAGCUGGGAGAAAGGAGUCUGCUACCCCAACAGCUCAACCCGAGUCUUAGAUUUGAGUCUCAUUGGCCUGAUGGACUCAUGUGCCCAUCUCUGAACCAAUCACUGUGGACUGGGGAAUGGAAUCUGGAGACUGGCCUAUCCCUGUGACAGGUGAAUUCAGGGUAGUGUUAGGGAGGGGAAUGGGUUAAUAAUAAAGCAGUUGGCAGAUACUACUUAGCCCAGGACCUGGUGGCUAGUCUGGUUCUCUCCUUUCUAAUCGGAGGCCUCUACCGCAAACAUGCUCUGCCGGAUCAUCAGUCAGGCCACUACGCAUCCAAGCUUGAUCCCCCUCUUCGUAUUUAUUGGAACUGGAGAUACUGGAGUGGCACUGUAUCUUUUGCACCUGGCAUUGAUCAAUCCAGUUGUUAGUUGGGACAGAAAGAAUAACCCAGAACCCUGGAACAAACUGGGUCCCAAUGAUCAAUACAAGUUCUACUCAGUGAAUGGAUUACAGCGAACUGAAGAAAGAAGGUCCAGAUUUCCAAAUGAAAUGUUUCGCUAUAAAGCUGCUUUAGAAUGAAGGUUUUCCAGCAGCCAUCCGCACAAUUUUCCACUUAAUAUAUUUGUCCUCUAAAUGCAUGAAAUAAUGUUGAUGCAAUCUACUGUAGAUUAUACUGAUUAAUAAAUAACUGAAACUUGAAAAAAAUAA